rnacentral:rRNA from 1 species
CCUUAGUACGAGAGGACCGGGAUGGACUGACCUCUAGUGUACGAGUUAUCGCGCCAGCGGUAUAGCUCGGUAGCUAUGUCAGGUAUGGAUAAACGCUGAAUGCAUCUAAGCGUGAAGCCAGGCCUAAGAUUAAUUCUGACAGUGAGACUCGUGGAAGACCACCACGUUGAUAGGCUGGAGAUGUAAGUGCAGUAAUGCAUUUAGUUGACCAGUACUAAUAGUCCCGAGGCUUGACCAUAAAA